rnacentral:tRNA from 1 species
GGUAGGGUACGGAAGUGGCUAAAACCGGCCUGUCUUGAAAACAGGUGUGUCGCAAGGCACCGUGGGUUCGAAUCCCACCCCUACCGCCA